GGGCGAGUAUGCAAAUUGGUGAAGCAAGCGGUCUGUAAAACCGUGACGUAAGAUACAUUGCAGGUUCAAGUCCUGCCUUUCCCACCA
rnacentral:tRNA from 1 species